AUUGAACGCUAGCGGGAUGCCUUACACAUGCAAGUCGAACGGCAGCACGGACUUCGGUCUGGUGGCGAGUGGCGAACGGGUGAGUAAUGUAUCGGAACGUGCCCAGUAGCGGGGGAUAACUACGCGAAAGCGUAGCUAAUACCGCAUACGCCCCUAGGGGGAAAGCAGGGGAUCGCAAGACCUUGCACUAUUGGAGCGGCCGAUAUCGGAUUAGCUAGUUGGUGAGGUAAUGGCUCACCAAGGCCGCGAUCCGGAGCUGGUUUGAGAGGACGACCCGCCACACUGGGACUGAGACACGGCCCCGAAUACUACGGGAGGCAGCAGUGGGGAAUUUUGGACAAGGGGGGAAACCCUGAUCCAGCCAUCCCGCGUGUGCGAUGAAGGCCUUCGGGUUGUAAAGCACUUUUGGCAGGAAAGAAACGGCGCGUGCUAAUACCAUGCGCAACUGACGGUACCUGCAGAAUAAGCACCGGCUAACUACGUGCCAGCCGCCGCCGUAA
rnacentral:rRNA from 1 species